AGGGGCUGGCACCUGUGAUCCCAGUAGCCUGCUGGCCAGAGCCCAGGCCUCCCAGACCUUGUAUUGAGCCCCCUCCCCCAGAUACACAUGCUGGUGCUGGACAGCUGGGCUGUGGCGGAAGUUUACACAGAAAGGGUUUGCUGGGCCAUCUCCGUACACGCAGCUUCACUUCCUUCUGAAGCCCAACCCAUGUCUGAGCUGCAGCCAUGGGGGUUCUGGGAGCCAUGGAGGCCAUGAGGCAGGUUGGGAGGGUCUGCUCCCAGCCUCCCAGACUCUGCCACUCCUGCCUGUCCCCAGGCCCUGAUGACCUCCCAUCCUUCUGUGUCCCGCAGAUCCCUGCAGUCAGAACUCAGGCACACUGGGCCCUGCUGGCAGAGGAUGUUGGGCCCGAAUCCAAUCCAUGUGUGAGUUGUUCCCAGGGAAGUGACGUGCCAUGCCAAUUCACCCAGCCUUGGGCUGCUGGGCUUGACAUGCUCAACUGGGGGCAAUGGAGCAAAUUCCCAGAACAAGUUUUGAGAAAGAUGAUUCAGAGGUUUGCAGAGGAUGAGGAAAGGUCCAGACUCUGCCCUGUCAAUCAUCCCAGGGGCUCCUAGGCUUCCCUACCUGACUACUUCACUGGGGCCAAAUCCCCACAGACAAUCGUGGCUUAGGGCUGUCUGCCUCUGCACUUGGCCCAUGGGCUGCCUGUGAGUCUUCUCUCGCUUCCUCAUUCCUUUGAGGGGGAAUGUUCUCGGAGCUCUGUCCUUAUCUAUGAUGACUACUGCGGGGCAGCCAGCAUUUGCUCUGGAGAAGCCUUACCGCAAACACCAGGCACCAAGGUGCACAUCCCUGAUGGAUCCUGGGAUCAGCUGACACUCAAUCCACCUGCCCUCUGGGCCCUCUGGGUCCACGCGGCAGCUGGAGGUAUUGUAGACACUUAAAAAAAAAAUGGGUUCUGGUAAGAAGAAGGUGAGAAAUGGCUAUUUGUCCACAUUGGGACUCAAAGGGGUGGGAUGGCAUGCCCUUACAUGGGACUCCUACCCGCAGCGGGGCGGCUGGCCACUCUGAGGGCAGUUUUGCACCUGCCUCCCGGCUGGAAAGUGAGUUCCCACUGUGCUGUCCUUCCCUGGGGCCCAGCACAGGGCCUGGCCCCACACAGACCUGAAAAGGUUGGUAGGAUGACUGAAUGAAUUGACUCUGGGGUGCAGCAGGGCCCAUGGGCAGAGGCUCCAGAGCCUGGGAAGGAUGGGGUGGCCUUUCUGUGGCCCUCCAAAUUGAGAGAGGUCUCAGACGCCUGACACUACGGCUUUCCAGCUUUCCAUCCAGGUUUCCUAGUCACCCGCGGAGGGUUCAGCGCCCCGGUGGUCUUGGGGUCCCGCCUUAAGGGCGGUGCCUAGGGCAGAGGGAGGAGGGAUGUCGGCCCCUUCAGAACCGCACCCCAGGCCCUCCCCACCACCUUUCCUUCCUUCAAGCCCUCUGCCUUCCCAGUCGCCCCGCCCCCUGCCCCUCUGUCCUAGGCGCAAGUCUCCCGGCCUGGGACGCCUGCCGCCAGCGCCCGCCCGCCUGCCCCGCCCCUCGCCCCCCGCACCCCCGCAGCCCCUCCGUCCACUCUCG
ensembl:lncRNA